rnacentral:rRNA from 1 species
UAACAAUGAUUCCCUCAGUAACGGCGAGUGAACAGGGAAAAGCUCAAAGUUGGAACCUGGUGGGCCUAGCCUACCCGGAUUGUAAACUAAAGUUUUUGGGUCGUUUAGUCAGCCAGAUAAAUAAGUCCUCUGGAAAGGGGCGACAUAGAGGGUGAAAUCCCCGUCUUUGGUCUGAGCAUGAUUAGGCGUUUGGCCUGGAAACGAAGAGUCAGGUUGUUUGGGAAUGCAGCCUAAAAUGGGAGGUAAAUCUCUCCUAAAGCUAAAUAUUGACGAAAGACCGAUAGCGAACAAGUACCGUGAGGGAAAGAUGAAAAGCACUUUGAAAAGAGGGUCAAAAAGUACGUGAAAUUGCUGAAAGGGAACCGUAUAAAAUCAGACUUACUGGUAGGUAAUCAACCUUCCUCUCGGGGAGGGUGCACUUGCCUGCUAUUGUAUGCCAGCAAUACUUUGGUUGGAAGGAAAAAAGUAGGAGAAAUGUGGCCUAGGUUUCGGCUUAGGUGUUAUAGUCUCUUGCAAAAUACUUUCGGCUGGAGUAAGGAACGCAGCAAACCGUAAGGCGAAGAUUUUGGGCGCUUGGAGUUAAUAGUUGGAGAAUUUCUGCUUCGGGUGGUGCUUUAGCUAUUGAUNUUAACCCGCUUAAAUUCUUUUAAUUUGCUUAGGUUGUUGGCUUAAUGAUUUAUAUGA